GGCCACAAGCAGAAGUACCAAAAGCUCUGAGAAAAGUCAUUGUUGAAAAGAGCUGGUAGACUCCAAGAUUUAUCUUCCCUUCCAACAGGAAGUGUUGAGGUGUUAACCAGCCAUGAAACAGGCAUAGGUGAAACGGGUGAGACAAGAAGGCUGGAGUGGCUGGCUGGGAAGAAUGUCCUUCUUCUCGCUGGGAUAAAGCUCUGGAGCUAUGAGACAAUGGAUCUUCAUAAUGACACCUUGAUGGGGUUCCUGGAGUUAAGUCCACCAAAGUAAGGUGGGGGCUAUUUAAGAUAGGAGUUUCUCAUUCUCCUACUAGUUCACCAACAGCGUCCAGGAAUUCAUCAAAAUUACCAUUUCAGUGUUCCUACAAGUCAAUGGCUCCAGCAUCUUCUGAUCCUGGUAAACAAAUCUUGACUGUGACUUUCAGGAUGUGCUUGUCUCUUAAGUGAUGUACCCUGUGAUCUCAGUUCUCUGAUGGGUCCAAGAAAAGUCGCUGAACUUUUGUUUGCAUAGCCUUUUCUUAUCUUAAGGAUGUUUGGAAUGAUGACUUCUAAGUUUCUUACAUGUCAGAGUGGAAACCAGAAAUCCAUUUGGAAUAAAUUUAAUAAUUUUUUCCUAGUCUAAAUUUCUUUUUUGCUUAUUUAUAAGAGAAAAUUUUGAAAUCUUUAAAAAUAUAAAAUAAGAAUUUAAAAUUUCCUUCACAUAUUCGGUCUUUUUUUUUUUUUUUUUUGGAUACUAAUGCACACCACCAAGGUUUGUUGCUGUUUUUCCCAGCAUUUCUAUGAGGCAGAUAUUAGUUGUGUGACCUUGGAAAAGUUAAUUAUCCUGUCUGUGCUCCAGUUUUCUCAUUGGUAAUAUAGACUAUAAAUAGUACUUUCUUU